CCUUGCCACGGAGCACGGAGGUUGACACACAUUGGGACUUUCUAGUUAUCAAGCAGUGGUGCUAUUCCUUUACCCUUGUGGGUAAUAGUAGGGUAGCUGGAACUUCAAAGCUUAUGUGUCAAACCUUUGUCAGAGAUCUUUGGAAAAGUUAUAUGUGGUACCCGAGGAGCUGAUGUUGCGUGUGGAAAGUGGUGCCUCUUUGGAAUCUGGAGAGUGGUGCCUUUUCGAUUUUUGAACCAACGGCCUUGUUGCCCUUUCUUUUAUAAGGGCACCAAUUGUGUGCAAAAAGUACAUUCAGAGAAUUAUUGCUUGUAGGAAUUUUCCCUUUACUUCAGAGAUUUAUUGCACCUCAUUUAUCCUUCAUCAUUUCUGAGAAUGUCUGGCCCAUCCGACCGUCGUUUUGACUUGAACUUUGGUGAAGAGGCA
rnacentral:lncRNA from 1 species